rnacentral:rRNA from 1 species
GAUGAACGCUAGCUACAGGCUUAACACAUGCAAGUCGAGCGGAAACGACAUCGAAAGCUUGCUUUUGAUGGGCGUCGACCGGCGCACGGGUGAGUAACGCGUAUCCAACCUGCCCAUCACUUGGGAAUAACCUUGCGAAAGUAAGACUAAUACCCAAUGACAUCCCACGAAGACAUCUGAAUGGGAUUACAGAUUUAUCGGUGAUGGAUGGGGAUGCGUCUGAUUAGCUUGUUGGCGGGGUAACGGCCCACCAAGGCAACGAUCAGUAGGGGUUCUGAGAGGAAGGUCCCCCACAGUGGAACUGAGACAAGGUCCAAAGGCAUACGGGAGGCAGCAGUGAGGAAUAUUGGUCAAUGGGCGAGAGCCUGAACCAGCCAAGUAGCGUGCAGGAUGACGGCCCUAUGGGUUGUAAACUGCUUUUAUAAGGGAAUAAAGUGGGUCUCGGGAGACUUUUUGCAUGUACCUUAUGAAUAAGGACCGGCUAAUUCCGUG